AAUCAUUUUGGUAAUGUCAUCUGACCUCUCACAAGAAGUAUGUGGAAAGAAGUAUUCUUUGCAAAUAAGCAGGACUGUAAAAAAGAAAUAACCAAAUUAUAUAAUUCUUUUCCCUUCAUUGAAACAUUCUGCAAAACUCCUAGCUUUGGGUGAGGUCAAAGGACAUGCAAGUCUGUUCCUUGAUACUCCCACCAUACCCACAGCAAUGCAGGCUGGAUCCAUUUUUACUUCUUUUGGUCCACAUCAGGAAAAGGCAAGGCCACCUAACAUCAAGAAAAGCCACUACUUCUUGGUUAAUACCAGGUGGGUCACUGCAAAGACUAGUUUGAGGAUUAAUAAUUAGACUUCUUAACUAUGAGGUCAAGAUGCAAAUACCCUUUUGAAACUGAGAAAUGGUAACACCAUUUCAGAAUUCAGAAUAGAAAGGAAAGUAAUGUGGUCGUUGUCUUCGAACUCCAAUAUAGAUAUUCUGACAAAAAAUUCUUUACCUGGAGAAGACAUGCUUUAUUGGCAUACUCAGAAAUACAAUUUCACUUAAGUGAGAGAGACAAAGCUUGGAUACCUAAUGUAGAGUAGCAGAAGAAAGGAAAUAGAAAGAGUUGCUGAUGUUGAAACAAAGAAAGUAUAGAAUUUAACACAGAGAUAAAGUCUUUCAAAUAAUUAACUCACAGGUGCUCUUUUUUUUCAGCUAAUGUUUAGCUGUUUCCCCCCACCCUUCUCAUUCCUUUAUAACUCAGCAGGAGGAAGACUGUGAGUGUUUUAUGUGUUGGUGUGGGAGAAAACAUAGCUCAAACACAUCUUGUUUUAAAGUUCUUGUUUUGCUCUGUAUCCAAAUGCUGUUUGAUUCUCACCUAAAUAGCAGGAUAAAUUAGGACUGCAGACUUUAAAAGUAUGUCUUAGCAGACCCGUAGGUACUUGGAACCAGACUUAAAAACUUUGAAUUUUCUUCUCUGAAAUGAUGAUCUAGGGCUAUAUUUAGUAGGUUAUAUUAGGUUCAAAUAAAUGUACUCAAAACAUGGAAUAGAAAAUACUA
rnacentral:lncRNA from 1 species